rnacentral:rRNA from 1 species
AUUUUGGACAAUGGGGGCAACCCUGAUCCAGCCAUGCCGCGUGCGGGAAGACGGCCUUCGGGUUGUAAACCGCUUAUAGUCGGGAAGAAAAGGUUAUCCCUAAUAAGGAUGACUGUUGACGGUACCGGCGGAAUAAGCACCGGCUAACUACGUGCCAGCAGCCGCGGUAAUACGUAGGGUGCGCGCGUUAAUCGGAAUUACUGGGCGUAAAGCGUGCGUAGGCGGUUCGUUAAGUUUGUCGUGAAAGCCCCGGGCUCAACCUGGGAAUGGCGAUGGAAACUGGCGGGCUGGAGUCUGGCAGAGGGGGGUGGAAUUCCGCGUGUAGCAGUGAAAUGCGUAGAGAUGCGGAGGAACACCGAUGGCGAAGGCAGCCCCCUGGGCCAAGACUGACGCUCAGGCACGAAAGCGUGGGGAGCAAAC